UCACACUUCAGUUCUAACCGGUCCUUUCCCUCAACUUUAACAUUCUCUCUUUCUCUUAACAAGAAUUGCAUCAACACAAAUUGAGAAAAUUCUUUUGGACUUGUUCUUCACCUUUUUCCUCUCUUAAGUCAAGAAAAGUAUGUCUUCAAGAAAAAAUUUACCAUGAGAAAUUAUCCAAGGAUGAUGAGUUACCCUUUAUAGUAGACUCGAUGAGGGAUCCUAGUCUGACGAGUCUCCUAUUGAGACAGUACAAUCAUUCACCGACAUGAACCCGAGUGCCUAGUGCGCCACAGAGAGUCUUUACCCUCUUUUACUCUCUUUUAUUUCUGUAUUGGGGACAAUGCAAUAUUUUUAGUGGGGGUGAGGUAUCGUUAUGAUUCAUUUGAUGGUCGGUACCUACUGUCUCAUUUUAUGGCAUGUGGCUUGAUAAAUUGUGGAGACAUAUUCUAUUUUAUUAC